AUUGAACGCUGGCGGCAGGCCUAACACAUGCAAGUCGAGCGGAGCGGCGGACGGGUGAGUAAUGCCUAGGAAUAGGCAUGGUCGUGGGGGAUAACGUCCGGAAAUGGGCGCUAAUACUGAAUACUCUCAGAUGAGCCUUGGUCGGAUUAGCUAGUGGGUGGGGUAACGGCCUACCAAGGCGACGACCCGUAACUGGUCUGAGAGGAUGAUCAGCCACACUGGAACUGAGACACGGUCCAGACUCCUACGGGAGGCAGCAGUGGGGAAUAUUGGACAAUGGGCGAAAGCCUGAUCCAGCCAUGCCGCGUGGGUGAAGAAGGUCUUCGGAUUGUAAAGCACUUUAAGUUGGGAGGCGUUACCAACAGAAUAAGCACCGGCUAACUUCGUGCCAGCAGCCGCGGUAAUUC
rnacentral:rRNA from 1 species